CCAGGGGUAGCCAAGUGGUUUAAGGCCGCAGUCUGUAAAACUGCCAUUCGUUGGUUCGAAUCCAACCCCCUGGA
rnacentral:tRNA from 1 species